rnacentral:rRNA from 1 species
UAACCAUGCAAGUCGCACGAACCUUUCGGGGUUAGUGGCGGACGGGUGAGUAACGCGUAGGGAUCUGUCCACGGGUGGGGGAUAACUUUGGGAAACUGAACCUAAUACCGCAUGACACCUGAGGGUCAAAGGCGCAAGUCGCCUGUGGAGGAACCUGCGUUCGAUUAGCUAGUUGGUGGGGUAAAGGCCUACCAAGGCGAUGAUCGAUAGCUGGUCUGAGAGGAUGAUCACCCACACUGGGACUGAAACACGGCCCAAACUCCUACGGGAGGCAGCAGUGGGGAAUAUUGGACAAUGGGCGCAAGCCUGAUCCAGCAAUGCCGCGUGUGUGAAAAAGGUUUUCGGAUUGUAAAGCACUUUCAGCGGGGACAAUGAUGACGGUACCCGCAAAAAAACCCCCGGCUAACUUCGUGCCAGCAGCCGCGGUAAUACAAAGGGGGCAAGCGUUGCUCGAAAUGACUGGGCGUAAAGGGCGCGUAGGCGGUUGACACAGUCAGAUGUGAAAUUCCUGGGCUUAACCUGGGGGCUGCAUUUGAUACGUGGCGACUAGAGUGUGAGAGAGGGUUGUGGAAUUCCCAGUGUAGAGGUGAAAUUCGUAGAUAUUGGGAAGAACACCGGUGGCGAAGGCGGCAACCUGGCUCAUGACUGACGCUGAGGCGCGAAAGCGUGGGGAGCAAACAGGAUUAGAUACCCUGGUAGUCCACGCUGUAAACGAUGUGU